GAUUGAACGCUGGCGGCAGGCCUAACACAUGCAAGUCGAACGGUAACAGGAAGCAGCUUGCUGCUUCGCUGACGAGUGGCGGACGGGUGAGUAAUGUCUGGGAAACUGCCUGAUGGAGGGGGAUAACUACUGGAAACGGUGGCUAAUACCGCAUAACGUCGCAAGACCAAAGAGGGGGACCUUCGGGCCUCUUGCCAUCAGAUGUGCCCAGAUGGGAUUAGCUUGUUGGUGAGGUAACGGCUCACCAAGGCGACGAUCCCUAGCUGGUCUGAGAGGAUGACCAGCCACACUGGAACUGAGACACGGUCCAGACUCCUACGGGAGGCAGCAGUGGGGAAUAUUGCACAAUGGGCGCAAGCCUGAUGCAGCCAUGCCGCGUGUAUGAAGAAGGCCUUCGGGUUGUAAAGUACUUUCAGCGGGGAGGAAGGUGUUGUGGUUAAUAACCGCAGCAAUUGACGUUACCCGCAGAAGAAGCACCGGCUAACUCCGUGCCAGCAGCCGCGGUAAUACGGAGGGUGCAAGCGUUAAUCGGAAUUACUGGGCGUAAAGCGCACGCAGGCGGUCUGUCAAGUCGGAUGUGAAAUCCCCGGGCUCAACCUGGGAACUGCAUUCGAAACUGGCAGGCUUGAGUCUUGUAGAGGGGGGUAGAAUUCCAGGUGUAGCGGUGAAAUGCGUAGAGAUCUGGAGGAAUACCGGUGGCGAAGGCGGCCCCCUGGACAAAGACUGACGCUCAGGUGCGAAAGCGUGGGGAGCAAACAGGAUUAGAUACCCUGGUAGUCCACGCCGUAAACGAUGUCUACUUGGAGGUUGUGCCCUUGAGGCGUGGCUUCCGGAGCUAACGCGUUAAGUAGACCGCCUGGGGAGUACGGCCGCAAGGUUAAAACUCAAAUGAAUUGACGGGGGCCCGCACAAGCGGUGGAGCAUGUGGUUUAAUCCGAUGCAACGCGAAGAACCUUACCUGGUCUUGACAUCCACAGAAGAAUCCAGAGAUGGAUUUGUGCCUUCGGGAACUGUGAGACAGGUGCUGCAUGGCUGUCGUCAGCUCGUGUUGUGAAAUGUUGGGUUAAGUCCCGCAACGAGCGCAACCCUUAUCCUUUGUUGCCAGCGAUUAGGUCGGGAACUCAAAGGAGACUGCCAGUGAUAAACUGGAGGAAGGUGGGGAUGAUGUCAAGUCAUCAUGGCCCUUACGACCAGGGCUACACACGUGCUACAAUGGCGCAUACAAAGAGAAGCGACCUCGCGAGAGCAAGCGGACCUCAUAAAGUGCGUCGUAGUCCGGAUUGGAGUCUGCAACUCGACUCCAUGAAGUCGGAAUCGCUAGUAAUCGUGGAUCAGAAUGCCACGGUGAAUACGUUCCCGGGCCUUGUACACACCGCUCGUCACACCAUGGGAGUGGGUUGCAAAAGAAGUAGGUAGCUUAACCUUCGGGAGGGCGCUUACCACUUUGUGAU
rnacentral:rRNA from 1 species